ACACCGGUCUGCAGACAUCACUGCUACAAUCAUCUUCUUCGUGAUAGUUCGGUUACAGUAAUAUGUUUCUUCUUUUAUCAUGACCGAUAUAUAAACUGUAUCAUGCACGUGUGCGUUUUCUGCGAACAAUAUUACAUUAAAUGGUGUAAGUUUUAAGGUUAACGUAUAAGUUGAAGUUCUUUGUUUUAUUAGUGUCGUCUGUUAGCUAUUUGUGGGACAUAGACCUGCGCUAUUUGCAUAAUCCAAGGUAUUUUGUUUGGUGUUGUUUUAAGACGAAAUGAGUUAGUUCAUCCCAAACUUUCAAGGAAAAAUACGGUUGAGAAAAAAUAGUUAGGAUCUUAAUGUAUGGCAACCAACCUUGACAGUUUGGAACCAUUUGAAACCGAUAGUUUAAGUAACUUAACUGCAGGACUGAAAAUGAAGGAGCCUCCAGUAACAACGGCAACUAAUGGAGACAGGAAUUAUCGUCUGGAAGACUUUGAAAAGAAGAAGACAAUAGGUACAGGAACGUUUGGAAGAGUGUGCUUGUGUCGAGAUAAACUGUCUGGCAGUUAUUAUGCUAUGAAAAUUCUAGAAAUGGUUGACGUCAUUCGACUGAAGCAGGUGGAGCACGUGAAGAACGAGAAAACAAUUCUUCAACAAGUCACUCACCCUUUUAUCAUUAAUAUGAUUUGGACAACGCAUGACGACAGUUCUCUCUACAUGUUAUUUGAGUACGUUUGUGGUGGGGAGUUAUUCACUUACCUGCGAAACGCCGGUAGGUUCAGUAGCACUACAGGAGCUUUCUAUGCUGCAGAAAUAGUGCUAGCUCUGGAAUAUCUUCAUAAACAGCAAGUCGUGUACAGAGACUUGAAACCCGAGAAUCUGCUGCUGGACAGAGAUGGUCAUCUUAAGAUCACAGACUUUGGUUUUGCAAAGAAAUUAACUGACAGGACUUGGACUUUAUGUGGAACACCAGAAUAUUUAGCUCCAGAAAUCAUCCAAAGCAAGGGUCACAAUAAGGCUGUUGACUGGUGGGCUCUAGGUAUACUAAUCUACGAAAUGUUAGCUGGGUACCCUCCUUUCUUUGACGACAAUCCAUUUGCUAUCUACGAGAAGAUCCUAGCUGGAAAACUAGACUGGCCUCGACAUAUUGACCCGGUAGCGAAGGAUCUAAUAAAGAAGCUGCUUGUUCAAGAUCGUACAAAACGACUAGGAAGUAUGAAGAACGGGGCUGACGAUGUAAAAAGACAUCGAUGGUUCAAAGGCAUUAACUGGGACGAUGUUUUAAACAGAAGAGUGAAGCCUCCCAUUGUCCCUAAGGUGAAGUCUGACGGAGACACGGGUAACUUUGAUGAUUAUCCGGAAGGAGACAACCAUAAGAGAGCCUCACUUCUUACUGACAAGGAAAUGAAAAUGUUCGAGGAAUUUUAGCCGAAGAUCAAGUCUCUUAGUUUAGCCAAACAAUUGGAUCAUAUCAAAGUGCUGAAACCUCCAAUAAUUCCUCGUGUAAACCACAGCGGGGACACUCGCUACUUUGACCGAUUUCCUGAGAGGAAAUGGAAUCCCACCACCGCCAAAAUGUCAAGACAGGAUCUUGCUUUCUUCUCGGAUUUUUGAAACAUGUACUAGUCUUAUUUUGUCUCAAAGUUUGUCAUUUGAAGUUUAAGACCUCAAACUGUUACAUUUAUUUUUUUUGUUUAUCUCCCUUAAAAUUGG
rnacentral:misc_RNA from 1 species